rnacentral:rRNA from 1 species
AGAGUUUGAUCCUGGCUCAGAGUGAACGCUGGCGGCGUGCCUAACACAUGCAAGUCGAACGCGAAAGUCCCGCAAGGGAUAAGUAGAGUGGCAGACGGGUGAGUAAUGCAUAGGUAAUCUACCCUUGAGUGGGGGAUAACUCCGGGAAACCGGUGCUAAUCCCGCAUAAUGUCCCGAUGCGCAAGCAUUGGAACCAAAGGGGGGGAUCCUUCGGGACCUCCUGCUUGAGGAUGAGCCUAUGUCCUAUUAGCUAGUUGGCGGGGUAAUGGCCCACCAAGGCUCUGAUGGGUAGCCGAGCUGAGAGGCUGAUCGGCCACACUGGAACUGAAACACGGUCCAGACUCCUACGGGAGGCAGCAGUGGGGAAUUUUGGACAAUGGGCGCAAGCCUGAUCCAGCCAUGCCGCGUGAGUGAAGAAGGCCUUCGGGUUGUAAAGCUCUUUCGGUGGGGAAGAAAUUGCUCAGGUUAAUACCUUGAGUAGAUGACGGUACCCGCAUAAGAAGCACCGGCUAACUACGUGCCAGCAGCCGCGGUAAUACGUAGGGUGCGAGCGUUAAUCGGAAUUACUGGGCGUAAAGCGUGCGCAGGCGGUUGUAUAAGUCAGAUGUGAAAUCCCCGGGCUCAACCUGGGAACUGCAUUUGAGACUGUACGGCUAGAGUGUGGCAGAGGGGGGUAGAAUUCCACGUGUAGCAGUGAAAUGCGUAGAGAUGUGGAGGAAUACCGAUGGCGAAGGCAGCCCCCUGGGCCAAUACUGACGCUCAUGCACGAAAGCGUGGGAGCAAACAGGAUUAGAUACCCUGGUAGUCCACGCCCUAAACGAUGUCAACUAGAUGUUGGAAGGGUUAAACCUUUUAGUGUCGUAGCUAACGCGUGAAGUUGACCGCCUGGGGAGUACGGCCGCAAGGCUAAAACUCAAAGGAAUUGACGGGGACCCGCACAAGCGGUGGAUGAUGUGGAUUAAUUCGAUGCAACGCGAAAAACCUUACCUACCCUUGACAUGUCAGGAAUCCCGGAGAGAUUUGGGAGUGCUCGAAAGAGAACCUGAACACAGGUGCUGCAUGGCUGUCGUCAGCUCGUGUGUGAGAUGUUGGGUUAAGUCCCGCAACGAGCGCAACCCUUGUCAUUAAUUGCCAUCAUUCAGUUGGGCACUUUAAUGAGACUGCCGGUGACAAACCGGAGGAAGGUGGGGAUGACGUCAAGUCCUCAUGGCCCUUAUGGGUAGGGCUUCACACGUCAUACAAUGGUCGGUCCAGAGGGUUGCCAACCCGCGAGGGGGAGCCAAUCUCAGAAAGCCGAUCGUAGUCCGGAUCGUAGUCUGCAACUUGACUACGUGAAGUCGGAAUCGCUAGUAAUCGCGGAUCAGCAUGUCGCGGUGAAUACGUUCCCGGGUCUUGUACACACCGCCCGUCACACCAUGGGAGCGAGUUCUGCCAGAAGUAGUUAGCCUAACCGCAAGGGGGGCGAUUACCACGGCAGGGUUCGUGACUGGGGUGAAGUCGUAACAAGGUA